rnacentral:rRNA from 1 species
AGAGUUUGAUCAUGGCUCAGGAUGAACGCUAGCGGGAGGCUUAACACAUGCAAGUCGAGGGGCAUCAUUGCUUUCGGGCAGAUGGCGACCGGCGGACGGGUGCGUAACGCGUAUGCAACCUACCUUAUGCAAGGGGAUAGCCCAUGGAAACGUGGAUUAACACCCUAUAUUCUGUUGAUAUUGCAUAUUAUAAACAGGAAAACUUUAGUGGCAUAAGAUGGGCAUGCGUCUGAUUAGCUUGAUGGUAAGGUAACGGCUUACCAUGGCGACGAUCAGUAGGGGUCCUGAGAGGGUUACCCCCCACACUGGUACUGAGACACGGACCAGACUCCUACGGGAGGCAGCAGUGAGGAAUAUUGGGCAAUGGAGGCAACUCUGACCCAGCCAUCCCGCGUGCAGGAUGACGGCCCUAUGGGUUGUAAACUGCUUUUCUGCGCCAAGAAACCUACUUACGUGUAAGUAGCUGACGGUAGCGCAGGAAUAAGCACCGGCUAACUCCGUGCCAGCAGCCGCGGUAAUACGGAGGGUGCAAGCGUUAUCCGGAUUUAUUGGGUUUAAAGGGUGCGCAGGCGGAAAUGUUAGUCAGUGGUGAAAUACUGCCGCUCAACGGUAGGGCUGCCAUUGAUACUGCGUUUCUUGAGUAUGGUUGAGGUAGGCGGAAUGUGCGGUGUAGCGNUGAAAUGNAUAGAUAUCGCCCAGAACGCCGANUNNNAAGGNAGCUUACUAAACCAUUACUGACGCUGAGGNACGAAAGCGUGGGUAGNGAACAGGAUUANAUACCCUGNAGUCCACGCCGUAACNAUGUUCACCCNCUG